CUGUGCCUCCCAAAGGUGCUUGGGGCAGGAAUGAAGAGCGGAACAGCCCCCAUCAAUCCAAUAGGAUUGUCGUUUUACGCUGGCGUGGAGCCUCAGACAUCAAAAGGGCUGGAGAGUGAAGCCACGUGUGAGCCGUGAAGUUGGUGACCCUGAGGCACAGAAAGCUGAGGGAAUUUGUUCGAAGUCACACAGCUGGGUCCUUGCAGAUGUAAUCGGGUGAAGAUGGGUUCAUAUUGGAUUGGAGUGAGUCAUAAUCCACUGUGACUGGUGUCUUUAAAAGAAAAGGACACACGGAAAUUCAGAGACAGAAAGACCCACAGGGAGAAUGCCAUGUGAUGACAGAGGCAGAGACUGGAGUGAUGGGUCUAUAGCCAACGGACACCAAAGACUCUCAUCCACCAGAAGCUGGAAGAGGCAAGAAGUGGAAAAGCAUUUGGGAGGAAGUGGAACCAAAGCAGAUCCUAUCCAAGGUGAAUGGCAAGCAGCUAUAUGAGGAUGGCCUUGCUCCCAGCCGGAUCUCCCAUCCUCAAGAAGGCCAGCCCAGGCUUCAUCACACAGCAGUGGAAGAGUUCUGAUUUAAGAGAAGAAGAGUGGAAGCUGCAGGUCCUGUUGAGACCUGGACUAGGAAGACACACAAUGCCACUUCUGCCACAUUCUAGUUGUCAUUUCUGGUUGUGAAAGCAAGUCCCAGGGCCAGUCAAGAUUCAAGGAAAGGGUAAAUAAACUCCAUUACUUGAUGGGUGCAGCCAAAAAAAGUCA
rnacentral:lncRNA from 10 species